GCACUGUUCCAUGUCUGUUCAC
rnacentral:siRNA from 1 species